CUGGCAUUCAGUUGGGCAUACUCUUCAUCCUUAUAGGGCUGCCACAAUCCCACUGCAUAGGAUGGAGUUUUGUCUGUCGUGGAUAACUUCAGCGCAGCCUUAAACUAACGCUUGUGGGAAAGGCCUGCCAAAACACAGGCGUUAUGGAGGAGAUGGCAUUGAUCCAGAGCUUGAAGCCAAUGCAAAUCAAUUCUAUGCAAAAUAUUGCCAGAAUUUCAUUGGACAUUUUAUGCCGCAGUUUUUCCAAUUCCUCAAUCCUUUUAUGAAAAUGCCUUUUAAAUAUAUAGAAGAUCUCAUUUUCAA